UGCUGACUCUGACUCACAGGGUCAAAGUUUACUGCAAGGUUAAAGUAUAGGGGGCGGAUCGAACUUCACAUAUGUUCGCCCGGCGAGGCGAACGUGAACAUGCUAAAUUCGCCGGGAACUUUUCGCCGGCGAACAAUUCGCGACAUCUCUAAACGGAGAAGGAAAAAACCUCUGAAGAUUACAUCAGGGCAUUCGCGUCACACACCGCUCAUCAUCCACACUUUGUAACAAAUUCUAAUAGAAGAAGUACUCAGACAAGGGAGAAGGAAAAAAAACUCUGAAGGUUACAUCAGGGCAUUCGGGUCACACACCGCUCAUCAUCCACACUUUGUAACAAAUUCUAAUAGAAGAAGUGACUCAGACGAGG